rnacentral:rRNA from 1 species
CUUGACGCCCAUAAGAGGUCCAGCCUGCCCAGUGACUCUGUUCAACGGCCGCGGUAUCCUAACCGUGCGAAGGUAGCGUAAUCACUUGUUCUUUAAAUGAGGACUAGUAUGAAUGGCACCACGAAGGUUAUACUGUCUCCUUUUUCUAAUCAGUGAAACUAAUCUUCCCGUGAAGAAGCGGGAAUAAAAAUAUAAGACGAGAAGACCCUAUGGAGCUUUAAACAAACAUACAAUUGCCUUCUUUUUAGAUAUUUCAGAAGAAAACCUUUAUUUAGGCAUUUUGAUAUAGAGUUUUAGGUUGGGGUGACCACGGAGUAGAAAACAACCUCCGCAAUGAAAGGGGCUCUUCCCCUAAGCUAAGGGCUACAACCCUAAGAAUCAAAAAAUUGACACCAAUUGACCCAAUAUACUUGAUCAAUGAAC